rnacentral:rRNA from 1 species
AUUGAACGCUGGCGGCAGGCCUAACACAUGCAAGUCGAGCGGAGCGGCGGACGGGUGAGUAAUGCCUAGGAAUCUGCCUGGUAGUGGGGGAUAACGUCAGGAAAUGGGCGCUAAUACCGCAUACUAUCAGAUGAGCCUAGGUCGGAUUAGCUAGUUGGCGGGGUAAAGGCCGACCAAGGCGACGAUCCGUAACUGGUCUGAGAGGAUGAUCAGUCACACUGUACCUGAGACACGGUCCAGACUCCUACGGUAGGCAGCAGUGGGGCAUCUUGGCCAAUGGGCGAAAGCCUGAUCCAGCCAUGCCGCGUGUGUGAUGAAGGUCUUCGGAUUGUAAUGCACUUUAAGUUGGGAGGCGUUACCAACAGAAUAAGCACCGGCUAACUUCGUGCCAGCCGCCGCGGUAAUAC